UUUCCAAUUAUCCAGCAGUGGUACUGUUCCUUUACCCUCUCUUCGAUUUUGAGAAAGUAAUCAUGUUGGGAGUCUGGCUCUCGAGAUUCGGAGGGCGGUGCCUCUUCGAUUUUGGAGCAAGCAAUCUUGUUGGGAGUGUUUUCUUGAAUGUGAGUAAAGGUUGGGCAUGUUUGCUAGUCUACCUUGCCACGAAGCACAAAGGUUGACACACAGGGACUUUCCAAUUAUCCAGCAGUGGUACUGUUCCUUUACCCUCUCUUCGAUUUUUGAGAAAGUAAUCAUGUUGGGAGUCUGGCUCUCGAGAUUCGGAGGGCGGUGCCUCUUCG
rnacentral:lncRNA from 1 species